AGCAGACAGAAAGUCUGAGACAAUAGCCAUGCUACACUGAUUCCUGCUUCAUCCUAGUGAUGUUUACCCAGGCACUAGUUACAGUACUUUAAAUAUCAGCAUUGUUAAUUAUUUCCUUACACAUCAGAACAUAUUUUGGAAAUGUGUAAUAGGAAGGGAUGCAAGAAAGCAGAAAUCAGUGUUCUGAGUUUUAUGAAGCUUUUGUCAAAGAGCCAUAAAAAAUUAUCAACAGCAUGAGAAACAUCAGGCUAGAAGAUCUCCAGCAACAGUUCAUAGAAAAGAGCAAAGAAGAUGACAAGAUAUCUGACACCAACAUGAGAACACUUAAAAGAUCGUUUAGUUCACAUGGUUAACAUGCAAACUUGAUUUUGAUUGCAGUUUCAUGAUGUGCAACAGGUGAUGUACUACCAGACAGAUAUGUCCAAGUUUGGAGAGAGAUACACGGGAGAAGAACUCACCCUGGCAAGGUUUUAUUCACCUACACAAAAGCACGUCAAAAAGGACGUCAAAGCAUUACAGAGGUUUCUGCAGCAGCUGAUUGAACUACCAACAUUUUGAGGCAAGACUGCAAGUUCAUAUUUGUUUGUGGUGUUUCUUUUUGUGCCUUGGGAGAAAAAAAAUGAAAAAAUUUGUAUUGUGGAUAAAGUUGACUCUCCCACAGUCCCAUGAGAACAUGUUUUAUGUGUGCUCCAAGUUUUAACAUAAUUUCAACCCUCUGUGUUCAAAUGCUUUUGCCUUCUUCCCUUUAUUGUUGAAUUACUUCCAAGUCUCCACCCUUCUUUCUAAGAUAAUAUGCCAUUUGAGCAAAGAGGUCUGUACUAUUUUCAGUCAAAGGAAUCACACUCUUCCACACAGGCCAACUUCAUUUAAGGCAAUCAAGACUCAUAAAUUAUGAAGCAUGUAAUUGACAUGUAUGCAAUUUACACGUAUGUAAUUUACAUGUAUGACUUUUAUUUUCAUUCUAUUAAAAGCAGUAUGAAAGGCCUGUGGUCCUGAACAUCCUAUAAAUAAAGGGCUCCUACCUGUCUUCCCUGCACCCCUCAAAAGGUAAAAAUUACUAGGAAAGCAAUAGUGUUUCCCAAACAUGCUAAACUGCCUAAUGAAAGGUAAAGAUCUGUCUGCACUAUCUAUGGGUAUGGUUUUCUCUUGCCUGAGAGUAGGGGCUGAAAUCCCAAAGAAUUCUUAGGAUUGAAAGCUAUAGGAAAACUGUAUACUUUCUCCACAAUUACACUAAAAGAACAGGACGUAAGAAGGCAGAGUGUAAUACAGAUUUUGCUGUACACAACGUGUGAUCAUGUAAUUGCCUGUACCUCAUAAAAUUGGGUAUUAACAUCCUUUUACUUCAUGAUUUUCAAAGAAAGUUUUCAAAGAAAGGCACCCAAUUUAUUUCCUCAUCACUCUUCCUAGCAGCAUGUGAAGUUGAGGAAAGAAAGGUCAAAGGACAACCUUUCCCAGAGCUCCUACUUCUUUGAGAAAUUAUAUGGCUUCAGCUCAUUGUAGCACAUCCCAAAGCACUGAUAGUCAGAGGCUGCAGUCCCAGCUCAAAUUCUUCUGUGGGACAGUAAUGCACCUUACGCCAGAAGAAGAGGAUGCACAACAGACUAUAACAUGUUUUCUCCUGUCCCUAGUUCGACUGCCUGGCACUAGGAAACUGCACUGCAUCUCUAAUAUAAAAGUCAGCAUGAUGUAUAGAAAGUGAACAAGCAUUAUCGUCCAUGAAUUAGCUAACAAGUAAUAUAUUAUUUACUGAAUAGUUAUGCCUCAGCUGGUAACAGUCACCUUCAAAGAUCUAUACAGAUAAAAUGUUGCUGAGUUACAGAAACUGUAACACUGAUCCUCCUGAGUAGAAAAAAAAAAAAAAAAUGUAUAGGAUGUAGGAACCAACUCAGUCUUGUUGCAUUUCUUCACAUUAUCUAGAUACCACAUUAAGAAAUAUACCAAACAGAAUAAACCCAUGUUGAUAGAAAGAGGUCUUAUGUUGCAGCUGGAAUUUCUGCAGUCAAAUAUGUGAAGUUUCUGAGAGACAGACAACAGCAGUCUUUGAAAGACAAAGAGAUAACAUUUGUUUCUGAAAGACAAAUGGAUAGUAUUGUUAUAUAAUAUUGUCUCUUUUUCCAUUUAAUUGAGGAACUUUUUUUUUUUUAAUGGAAAUGUACAAAACUUUUAAGUGUAAAAUCUUUAUUAUGUGUUAUUAGAAAUAACUCCUUUCUCCCACAGUAUUUUACUGGAUUUAAAUCAUUUUGUGCAGAAGAAAAAUAAACCUUCAGAGAACAUUUCAAUGUUAUAGCAGGAGAAAAAAAAAAAAAAAAAGAGAGAGAGAGAGAAAAAUCCAUACCUGUUCUUCAAACAAACCUAUUACAUCUGCAUACCUGGCUUCACUAUACAAAUAAAUCAAGUCUUCGUGUUACCAACUCUCCUCUUAGCAAUUUUCAAUACUGAAUUGUUAGCACACAUACUGCACAAUAACACCAAAGCUCUAAGAACAGAAACAGAAAGACAGUCAUUUAGAAACAAAUGCUAAAUUUUAAAUAACUAAAUUUGAAAUAAAAUUGUGGCCAUAAAUCACCAUAUUAUCCUGCACCCAGAGCCAUUUCAGCUCAAGCGCACCUGAACAAACCACACAUCCUGGCUUCCUCUGAGUCUGUAUUUCAUACCACCCCACUUACAUCGUGCCAUUGAAAAUUGCAUUGUUUAAUUUAGUUAUCAAAAUCAACCCUUUUGGCUCAUUGUUAAUUUUUCAACACUUGCCAGUCCUGUUAAUGGUCUGUGGUGUGCUUAACUUACACACCACUGUUCUGUGCAUAGCAUAUAUACACACUGAAAGCAGAGUUAUUUUUGAAAGAUUAUAGUAUUACCACAAUGUUAUAGGAAAACUGAAGUAUACUAGUGUCAUUUUAGAACUGGUCUGGUCAUACAGAAAAAAUCAUCCCUUGAGAGAACACACAACAUUUGAUGGACAGAAUCUCACUGCUGAUUUAGUACAUUAUGGAUGUCUGCUCAGAAAAUAA
rnacentral:lncRNA from 1 species